CGCAUAUUGCGCCCUUUGGUAUUCCGAAGGGCAUGCCUGUUCGAGCGUCAUUACACCCCUCAAGCCCCGGCUUGAUGUUGGGCACUGUCGGCAUGACAGGCCUAAAAAUCAGCGAUGGCUGUCCCUACAACCGCAAGCACACAGUUGUUGCUCAUGCCGGGAAAGGGACGCCAGGCUCUAGAUUAAUUUCUCCACGUUGACCUCGGAUCAGGUAGGGAUACCCGCUGAACUUAA
rnacentral:misc_RNA from 1 species